rnacentral:rRNA from 1 species
AGAGUGAGUAGAGCGGCGCACGGGUGAGUAACGCGUGGAUAAUCUGCCCUGAAGAUCGGGAUAACAGUUGGAAACGGCUGCUAAUACCGUAUAAUCUGCAUAUUUAACUUUAUGUGGGAAAGAUGGCCUCUACAUGUACGCUAUCGCUUUUGGAUGAGUCCGCGUCUCAUUAGCUUGUUGGUGGGGUAAUGGCCUACCAAGGCAACGAUGAGUAGCUGGUCUGAGAGGAUGAUCAGCCACACUGGGACUGAAACACGGCCCAGACUCCUACGGGAGGCAGCAGUGGGGAAUAUUGCGCAAUGGGGGAAACCCUGACGCAGCGACGCCGCGUGUAGGAAGAAGGCCUUCGGGUCGUAAACUACUGUCAAGAGGGAAGAAACCGUAGAGCAUUAAUACGGCUCUGCGCUGACGGUACCUCUAGAGGAAGCACCGGCUAACUCCGUGCCAGCAGCCGCGGUAAUACGGAGGGUGCGAGCGUUAAUCGGAAUCACUGGGCGUAAAGCGUGCGUAGGCGGCGUAUCAAGUCAGGCGUGAAAGCCCUCGGCUCAACCGGGGAAUUGCGCUUGAAACUGGUAUGCUAGAGUCUCGGAGAGGUUGGCGGAAUUCCAGGUGUAGGAGUGAAAUCCGUAGAUAUCUGGAGGAACACCGGUGGCGAAGGCGGCCAACUGGACGAGUACUGACGCUGAGGUACGAAAGCGUGGGUAGCAAACAGGAUUAGAUACCCUGGUAGUCCACGCUGUAAACGAUGGAUAUUAGGUGUCGGGGUUUUACUUCGGUGCCGCAGUUAACGCGUUAAAUAUCCCGCCUGGGGAGUACGGUCGCAAGGCUGAAACUCAAAGGAAUUGACGGGGGCCCGCACAAGCGGUGGAGUAUGUGGUU